GUAUUGAUCACUUUGGCAGCACAUAUGCUAAAAAUGGAACGAUAUGGAGAAGAUUAGCAUGGCCUCUGUGCAAGGAUGACACAUAAAUACAUAAAGCAUUCCACAUUUUU